GACGAACGCUGGCGGCGUGCUUAACACAUGCAAGUCGAGCGAUAAGGCCCUUUUGGGGGUACACGAGCGGCGAACGGGUGAGUAACACGUGGGUGACCUGCCCUCAGCUCUGGGAUAAGCCUGGGAAACUGGGUCUAAUACUGGAUAUGACCUUUCCUCGCAUGGGGUUGGGUGGAAAGUUUUUCGGCUGGGGAUGGGCCCGCGGCCUAUCAGCUUGUUGGUGGGGUGAUGGCCUACCAAGGCGACGACGGGUAGCCGGCCUGAGAGGGCGACCGGCCACACUGGGACUGAGACACGGCCCAGACUCCUACGGGAGGCAGCAGUGGGGAAUAUUGCGCAAUGGGCGGAAGCCUGACGCAGCGACGCCGCGUGGGGAUGACGGCCU
rnacentral:rRNA from 1 species